rnacentral:rRNA from 1 species
AACGAACGCUGGCGGCGUGCCUAACACAUGCAAGUCGUGCGAGAAAGUUCCUUCGGGAGCGAGUAAAGCGGCGCACGGGUGAGUAACACGUAGGUAACCUGCCCCCCAGUCUGGAACAACUAGAGGAAACUCUAGCUAAUGCCGGAUGAGACCACGAUCCCUUCGGGGGUUGCGGCCAAAGAUGGCCUCUACUUGUAAGCUAUCGCUGAGGGAUGGGCCUGCGGGCCAUUAGCUUGUUGGUGAGGUAACGGCUCACCAAGGCUGUGAUGGCUAGCUGGUCUGAGAGGAUGACCAGCCACACUGGGACUGAGACACGGCCCAGACCUCCGUACGGGAGGCAGCAGGUGGGAAUAUUGCGCAAGUGGGACGAAGCCUGACGCAGCGACGCCGCGU